UACGUAGGCAGCAAGCGUUGUUCGGAAUUACUGGGCGUAAAGAGUGUGUAGGUGGUGUCGUAAGUUUGGUGUGAAAUCUCCCGGCUUAACUGGGAGGGUGCGGUGGAAACUGGGGUGCUUGAGUGUGGGAGAGGUAAGCGGAAUUCCUGGUGUAGCGGUGAAAUGCGUAGAUAUCAGGAGGAACACCGGUGGUGUAGACGGCUUACUGGACCACGACUGACACUGAGGCACGAAAGCGUGGGUAGCAAACAGG
rnacentral:rRNA from 1 species